rnacentral:rRNA from 1 species
CAGCAGCCGCGGUAAUACGUAGGUGGCAAGCGUUGUCCGGAAUUAUUGGGCGUAAAGGGCUCGCAGGCGGUUUCUUAAGUCUGAUGUGAAAGCCCCCGGCUCAACCGGGGAGGGUCAUUGGAAACUGGGAAACUUGAGUGCAGAAGGGGAGAGUGGAAUUCCACGUGUAGCGGUGAAAUGCGUAGAGAUGUGGAGGAACACCAGUGGCGAAGGCGACUCUCUGGUCUGUAGCUGACGCUGAGGAGCGAAAGCGUGGGGAGCGAACAGGAUUAGAUACCCGUGUAGUCCCUGUCUCUUAUAC